GGAAAAGAGAGAGGAAGAAGAGAAUGAGGAGGGGAAAAGAGAGAGGAAGAAGAAGAGAAUGAGGAGGGGAAAACAGAGAGGAAGAAGAAGAGAAUGAGGAGGGGAAAAGAGAGAGGAAGAAGACGAGAAUGAGGAGGGGAAAAGAGAGAGGAAGAAGACGAGAAUGAGGAGGGGAAAAGAGAGAGGAGGAGGAAGAGAAUGAGGAGGGGAAAAGAAAGAGGAAGAAGAAGAGAAUGAGGAGGGGGAAAAGAGAGAGGAAGAAGAGAAUGAUGAGGGGAAAAGAGAGAGGAAGAAGAGAGUGAGGAGGAGGAAAAGAGAGAGGAAGAAGAAGAAUGGGGAGGGGGAAAAGAGAGAGGAGGAAGAGAAUGAUGAGGGGGAAA
ensembl:lncRNA